rnacentral:rRNA from 1 species
AUACGGAGGGUGCGAGCGUUAUGCGGAAUCACUGGGCGUAAAGGACGCGUAGGCGGGUUGGCAAGUCAGAUGUGAAAUCCUACAGCUUAACUGUAGAACUGCAUUUGAAACUGCUAACCUAGAGUAUGGGAGGGGGAGAUGGAAUUAGUGGUGUAGGGGUAAAAUCCGUAGAUAUCACUAGGAAUACCGAAAGCGAAGGCGAUCUCCUGGAACAUAACUGACGCUAAGGCGUGAAAGCGUGGGGAGCAAACAGGAUUAGAAACCCUAGUAGUCC